UGGUGGAGGACUUGGUGGACUAGCGCAAAAUGGAAAUCUAGAAAGAAGUGAAACUAAUCAGCUAUGGUUUUCCUGGAGUAUUUGUGCAACCAGCAGGUCGCCCAUGAGAAAUAUGAUGUUCUUUAUGCAUUUAAAAAACUACUAAAGGGAAAGUUGUGAAUGUAGCGUAUGCGUCAGAGGCCAGUCGGCAGAGGUGCAUGCAGGUUUGUGCUUGAGGGUGCACGCGAGUCGGCGGCUACAGGCAGAGGGUGCGGCCUGUGUGUGCGUGUUGUGGACAGUGUUGUGGUCGCCUGAUUUGAUUGUAAAUCGUGUAGAGCAAAGGCGGCUUCUGUGGCGCUGGAGCAACAAUUUCAGUGAGCACAUUGACUUGAUGCAGGGAGGGUCGUCGAAGAGAAGGACGGCGGCCCGGCCUACACAUGAUGGAACACACAUUGCCGACGAUGCGGUACCAGGCCUGGAGAAGAGAUCCCGAGGUGUUUGAUGAAAUGCCCUCCGUCCGAAAAUACUUGUCAUCAAAAUGAAUAAAAGGAGAUCACAAUGUUGGACACGACCACCUAAGAAUUGAAUAUUUUUAGUUGGAAUACUAUUUUAAUGAUCAAUCACAAUGUUGGACGCGACCACCUACUUAUUCCCGAGACUUUAAGUCUUUGGUGGCUUAAGCACAAUAUGCCCGGCAUAUGUUCUACAUCUGCGGCAUGUAAUGACCCUACUGGCAUUUCAAGAGGUCUGUAAAUACAACACUCUUCCAAAGUAUUUCCAAGAUUUACUAUAUUUUUGCAGCAGGCUACAUGCUUCUCUGAAUGACCAUUUAAGGAGUGAACAUGAACUGCUGAUGUAUAUGUUCCAUGCUCCAUGGGGAGGGAACAAGGAUUGAUUUUCGCCGGGAGUAGGAAGAGUAUGACUUGCCUAACAGAAGCACAAACACAAAUGGACACUCUGCAGUUGUAUCAGACACACCACCACAAGACCUGCUGUGUGCGUCACAAUUCUUAGCAGCGACCGUUACGACCGUGCAAUGCCAAGAUUGCUAGCGACAAGGAUUUGAGGAGGACAAGACGGUAGCUAUCGACAAGGAUUCAAGAAGGACCAUAUGCCACGGUGGUGGU